ensembl:lncRNA
GUAAAGUGACAGAAUUUUUAAUGUUUCAUUCCAACAAGGACAUAGACAUUUCUUACAGCUGUUAUCUCAUUACGUGCUUACUGUAAGCGAUUAGGUUUAUUUCGAUUUCACUAUGGCGCAUAACUAUCCAACAACUUUACCAAAUUGUGACAUUCUCUGUGUGAGGAAAUCACACUUAGCUUGCAAGGCUUUUAGACAUCUUUAAACAGACUAACUGAUUUUACCACUGCGUCUCCUUACCCAGUGUGAUCUUUGUAUCUGAGUUUUCCCAGACCACUACAUACACACACACACACACAUAAAUAUAUAAGAAUCCAGAGAAAUACUUUCAUAUGUUGUGCAAGCGAAAUAUUUUUUCUUUGGAAUUCAUAUUUCUCUAGAAAUCAACAUAUAUUUCUGUGAAACAAAAUAACUUGCCCAAAACAUACCUUGGAAGCGUCAUUUUUCUAACAGGUCCUUUUAAAUACCAUCUGUGUUUUAUUGUUCUGCAUUUUAAAGUUCAAUUUCAGUUUGUUUUCGGCAGGAGAUGAUAGGAAAGAGAAAGAGUGAGCACUCUCUUCCCACAGGAUAUAACAAAAAGCAGCACAAACUGUAUAUAUAUUUUAUUCCAACCGCUGACCGACAGCAAUAUGUGACAAAAAAGGUUUUGACUCUAAAGUGAUGGUCUGUGUAUAUGCCUGUAUAGAAACUUUGAACUUUAGCUUUGCAUCACUGAUCACAUCUGGGAAAAACCUCAUUCUCACUGAUCUGUCUGGCAGUGAUAUAAGAAUUGAGAGCACAUACCACACCGACGGAGGUACCGUCUCAUUAUCUCGGCUGGAACGGAGUGCCAGUUGGCUGUUUAUUUAGCAAACACUUGCUCUGUGAGAACAUGCGUGUGUGUUUUUUUUAUCAUGCUGGUUUGCGCACAUUGUUAUCCAUGCUGGUUAUCUGCGUGUAAUCUUUGGUCACGGCUGAAUGCUUUGUGUGUGUUUGUGUGUGUGUCAUUCUCAUUCCACUUUCAGCAAUAUAAUUCUGAUUUCAACACAAACGCACACACAUGCACACAUUAAAUCGGUCACUAUAUUUAUUCCCGUCACAAUAUUUGCUGUUAUGAUGUUUUCGUUCACAGUAGAACAUUUGAACUGGUGUGAAUAUUUUGGUCAGAUUUGAAUGUCUUGAGUGUUUUGCAUGUCCUGGUUUUACUGAGUGACAAAUUUGUUCAGCCAGUCUGGAAGACAAUAAUGUAACAUCACUACUAGUCUUUCUUUUCUUGGUACCUUCAGCUUGGUGUAGGUAGUGUUUCACUUAAAACUGCUUUAAUCUACACAAUAUAAUGCAUCGAAAACAUUAGCUAAUCAACCCAUCUAUUUAGAUAGUGUACUAUGCUUAACACGGGGGACAGUGUGGCUUAGUGGUUAACACAUUUGCCUCGCACCUUCAGGGUUGGGGGCUGGAAUCCCGCCUCGAAUCCCUGUGCUUCGGGGGUUUCCUCCGGCUAGUGCGGUUUCCACCCCUAGUGCAAAGACAUGAAUUGUAGGCUGGUUGGCAUUUCCAAAUUGUCUGUGUUGUGUGUGUGAUUGUUCCCUGCAAUGGGUUGGCACCCCAUCCAGUGUGUCCUUCGCUUCAUGCUCCAAGUUCCAUGGGAUAGGCUUCUCCACGACCCCUUUACGAUAAGCGGUACAGAAAAUGGAUGGAUGGAUGGACUAUGUUUAACCCAGCAUUGCCUGCAAACUAAUUAGCUCUAGGGAUGCAUCAGAUUGCUGUCUUUUGUUAAUUAGUGCGACAACGUACACUAGGCUUACACUAGUCAUAUAGUAUCAUGAGGUAUUAGCUGCUGGUACCGGAGCAUUUUUUAACAGUACAAAUAAAAGACCAUGGUACUGGACUGAUCCAUCCCUGCUUAGCUUGGCUAACAUUAACAUUACCUCUAAAGUUACCCAAAUACCUAGCUAAUGUUGCAUCAAAAGUAGCCAAGUUUGCUAGCCAGACAGUUAGCAUUAGGUAAACUUGUUGUGUAAGGAAUUACUGCGGUGCAGUGGGUUGCAUUCCCACUUCAAAGCUGGUGUGUCCUCAGUUCUCAAGCUCUGGUUACUCUCUUUAUGGAGUUUUGCGUGUUCUCUGCAUGUCUUUCUGCUUGUCCAGUUUUCUCCCACCUCUCAAAAACAUGUCAGUACGUGGAUUGUUUAUGCUAAAUUGCCCCAAGUGUAAAGUUGUUUCCGGUGUAUAUUCCCAUCUCAUCCCAGUGUUCCUAGGCUCCAGAGCCACCAUGACCCUUACCAGGAUAAAGUUGUUAAUGAAGAUGAAUGAAUGAAUUGUAUUGUGUAAUUAACACUAGCCAAGUUACCUAACAAGCUAGCUAACAUUUAAGUAAUCUGUUAUUGGUUGAUGUUAUAUUAUCAAGUUUCCGAUUGGCUGAACCAUUUUAACUUAACCUGUUAAAUUCCCAGGAGCCAUCUCUCUUGCAACUACACACAUUUUGCUAUUAGUUUGAGUGUUGUUACUGAAGAAAUCCUAGUACUUACUAAAUCAUAUGCUUUAAGAUAAAGAACUGAAUAAUAUUCUGAGAUUUUAAGGAGUUGAGCUCUACCCCUAUCAAAUAGGGAUGACUAUCACUUUGCAAAAUCUGUGUGUGUGUGUGUGUGU